rnacentral:rRNA from 1 species
UGGGGAAUAUUGCACAAUGGAGGGAACUCUGAUGCAGCGACGCCGCGUGAGUGAUGAAGGAAUUCGUUUCGUAAAACUCUGUUCUAUGGGAAGAAAAGGACUGUACCAUAGGAGAAAGCUCCGGCUAAAUACGUGCCAGCAGCCGCGGUAAUACGUAUGGAGCGAGCGUUGUCCGGAAUUAUUGGGCGUAAAGGGUGCGCAGGCGGCUUUACAAGUUGGAUGUGAAAUAUUGUGGCUCAACCACAAACGUGCAUCCAAAACUGCAAAGCUUGAGUUAAGGAGAGGUAAGUGGAAUUCCUGGUGUAGCGGUGGAAUGCGUAGAUAUCAGAAGGAAUACCGGUGGCGAAGGCGACUUACUGGACUUAAACUGACGCUCAGGCACGAAAGCGUGGGUAGCAAACAGG